rnacentral:lncRNA from 1 species
GCAUCACGAAGAAUCAUCUACCAUGAAUUUUGGAUGUGGUGAUCUACUACCUGCACUCAGGUAUAAGAUUUUGAUCUCAAUUAAUUUUUAGAUGCAAUCUAAAUAUAAAUUACAUAUGAUCUAAUUGCACUUUGAUAUGUUCUGUACUUGCUAAAUUUUAGAUUUCAGAUAUACAUAUAUACAUAUUAGUUUAUAUCAUAGAUCCUAU